GCAAGCAAGCUCUGGGCAAGCAUUUUCUCUAUCAGGAGUUCUCUGUUGAGGGACACAUGCUGGUGAUGGGUGAGGCCAGUAGUGAGCAGGAUGAUCCCUCCCCCCAUUAUAUAAAAUAAAGGGGAAAGAGGGGCAUCAGUUAGUCAAAUAUGAGCAUGUUUUGGGAGGAUCAUCUGUACAGAAUUGCUAAAUUUAACAUGAAAAGAGAAUUCAUUAUGGGCCAGAUUUAAUGUCAUCAGUGACCUCACAGAGAAUGUAUAUGUAUCCUUUAAAGAGGCAAGUUCUAUCUUCACCAAAAGGAUUCUUCUCCCAGUAGUUGGCUUGUUAGUAGUGCUUUUUUGCUGUCAGAGAAACAUGCAGAACCCUUAAUUCCUGUCAGUUGAGGAUGAAAUUGUUUCAACCUGCUGUUCUUUUUCUCUAAGUGUAUCUGCUGUAGUAGAGACCAUAACCUAUGGUGGCCUCUUCUCUCCCCCUGCCCCAUAAUUUAAGCCACAGCAAGCAAUACAUUCCUUUGUGGAUUUUAUCAACACAAAUUCUUCAAAAUUAAAUUAGAAUCUUUUUUUUUUUUUUUUUUGGUAUCCUUCAGAGUUGUUUAUUCUGAACUCCAUAAAAUGGAGAAAUUAGUCCUCCUUUCAGAAUAUGUUAGUACUCUUCAUUUCAGGUUAACUUAGAGUACAGUAUUGACAUGCAUUGUUUCCUUUGGAAUUUGCAUGCUGUGUGGCGCCAGCUGGCAGGAAUUAAAAGCUGCUAUUCUCUAAUAGAAAAUAAUGGCAAGUAGAAAUGACAUAUCCCAUAACCCUAAUUAUUCUGAGAGAGCUUGGAUGAUGUGCUUAUUGCAAGAGUAGAAUCCUGCAGUGGUGUAGGCUAAAUUACCCAUAUUUCUGGUUUUACAGAUGAAAAAGACAAGCAGAAAGAGAGAGAUCUAUAGAAUCCACACUUUCUGAUAUUCCUAGGUUAUUUGACCUGGUAAUGGUACUGUUGGAAACUUCACACUGCUGUGAAAUUCAUUUGAACCCACUUGAACUAGUCGGAUGCCCCUUUUGAUGUGAGUGGGUAUGCAUAUAGGAAGCUGCAUUAUUCUAACUCACACUAUUUGCUGAUCUAGUCCAGUGUUAUCUGCUCCAACUGGCUUCAGUUCUCCAAACUCUUGGGCUACCUGCUACCUGAUUCUUUUAACUGAGAUGCCAGGGAUUGAACCUGGAGCCUUCUGCAUGCAAACCGUGCGCACUGUCGCUCUGAUCUACUAUCCUACUUUUGUAUUUAGGACUACCAGUGGCUCUGAGUGACUAAUUGCCUAUGACUGCAGCUGGAUAAGGGAAUUAUUUUUACACGUAAAAUAUUUUUUACAUGGGAAAAGGAAUUCAUUCUUAUUUAGAUAUAUACCCUCACAUUCACCAUGGUGUAGAGGACCUAUAAAUUUCAUGCUGUGUCUGCGUUUCCUAAGAGUGUGCAACAGUUACAUGUUUCUCUUGCCAAGACCAUAGGUUUAUAUAUAUAUUUUAAUAAUACUUUUGUUUCUCUUUGCAUUCCAAACAGCAAAAACAGCGGAUGAGUGUAGACAUAGUUUGCCCACCAGUGCUAUGACUGCAGUUUGGUAAUGAAGAUGAAAUGAUUGUAAUGAUGACCUUUCUGUGCCUUUGUCUGUACAAUGCCCUUCUCUUUAACUGAACACCUUUCAAAUGAACACAUUCUGAACUCUUGAACUGCUCAUUCUGUUCACUGAGCGUAUUGCUCAAUCUGCACUUUAUCAUGAUGUGUCUCCAAAGACUCUGUUUCCUUACAUUUGAUGUCUAGAUGAGGUUUUUUUCAGAAUCCUUCAGUAGUCAGAAAUUGGGCUGUUAAGGGACCACAUUAAUCUGUGCCAUGAAAUCCUAAAUUAGGGACUCUUUGUAAAUAGUUUUCAAACCAUUAAAUAGACCUUAACAUAUAUACUGCACAACUCAAGUCUUAUUUGUCCAUCCUCUUUGGAUAAAGUACUUCACAAUUUCUAUUUGCCACAUAUUAUGCUCCCUUCUGGUUAUUUAGAAUGUCCCAGACAGGUGUCUUUAUUGAAAGGUUCAACAGAAGCAUAAAAAAUUAUAGAAUAUUUAUGCGUCUCUCAUCAUAUUUGAACAGGCAUUGGGAAAAGUUGCUUAUGGCUGGGAAUACUUCUCCCAGCUUGAUUCAGAAUUACCUCUGCUGAAAAGAACUCAUUUGGUUUUGAUCGUAUUUGUGUGGUUAAGCACAUGCCUUGCAUGAAAAAGGUUUCAGGUUCAAUCCCUGGGAUCUCAUCUCCAAGUAUGGUUGGGGAAGGACUCCUGCCUGAAGUCUUUGAAAGUCAAGCAGUGUCAACACGACUGAACUAGAUGGACCAAUGAUCUUAUUCAGUAUAGGGAAGCUUCCUAUGCUCCACUAUUAUUAAUUGGCAUGUUUUAAGCUUGGCUCCUUUACCAACCACAGCUGCAGUUGGACUCCGAAUGAUGGGAACACAAGAACACAGCAAUGCUUAGAGACCUUGCAGCUCAGUUACAGUUCUCCCUGUUCCUGCUUCUAUUGUCCCCAAAAUGAGUCUGGUGGUUGAUAAGAAUACAGUGGUACCUCUGGUUGCAAACGGGAUCCGUUCCGAAGGCCCGUUCGCAACAUGAAAAGAACGCAACCCGUGUCUGUGUGUCUGCGCAUGUGCCGGUUGCGAUUUGCCGCUUCUGUGCAUGCGCGAGCGGCGAAACCCGGAAGUAACCCUUUCCGGUACUUCUGGGUCGCCGCAGGAUGUAUCCUGAAAGAAUGUAACAGGAACUGGAUGUAACAUGAGAUAUGACUGUAGUUUCUGUGCAGAUUUUGUUAGGCAUUGAAAUGGAUGUGGAACAUUUUUGGUCCAGUAUGGUGAAUCUGUUCAGAACUCUGUUCUGUAUGUGUUCAGAACUCAGUGGGUCAGCUUUGGCAGGUACAUGAGAUGACCUGCCUGUUAAUCACCAAAUGUAUUUCUGUUUGACAGGUGGGUUGUCACAACUAGCUAAACAUCAUUGCUUGGUACUUCCCCAGCACCUGACUGAAAGCAAUAACUCUUCUUAUUGGUAUCAUUGCUGCCAUGUUAGUUUCAGCAAGAAAGUGAAGGGAUGGAUAUUGUAGAAGUGGAGGGCUGCUUAAUCCUGAGUGUUGACAGAGUUUGGGCUUGGCUUGUAAUUAUCCCAGAAGCUCCUAACUAUGGAAAUUUCUUCUUAGAACGGUCUGAUACUGAACAUUAUUUAAUCACUACAAAUUAUUGAAUUAGUGAUUUAGGGCUGUGUUUCCAAACCUUUCUGGAAAAAUCCAGGUUUUUAAUUGUCCAAAGCAAUGCUGACUGGGAUAGGUCCUCUUCACCAUCAUCAGUCUUUUCAACUGCGUACCUUUUCUCCACCUCUUCCUUCUUUUUCCCCAACUUACUAUGUUGUGAGAACAGGGAGACAAAAAUGAAAGAAGCUGAAAAGACUGGGCAAUACCUCUCUUAUGAUUCUGAUUUUCUUGAAUUAAGGCUUUUGAGUAGCACAAACAAAUCUCAGUCUCUUUCCAUUAUCUGUUGCUUUUAAACAGAGGUGAGGGGAAUCAUUCCGUCUUUUCAAGAGUCAUACUUGAGCUUCCCCUCUCCCUCCGUUCUUCAUUUCAGAUCACACAAAGUUUCAAUUUUUGCUUGUUAAUAUCAAUAUUACGCCAACGUCCCUUCCUCACUUGUAAAUAUAUUUUGGUCUUGUAUUCCGGAGAGAGUUGUCAAAUCAUAAAUAUAUAAAAGAAACUUAGAAUAAACAAACCAUGGUCUUCCCUCUCCCCAACCAAAUCUCAUGCCGAAUAAAAACUUAUCUCAGUUCAAACCUUUGAUCCAUGUAGCUUAUAUGCAGUAUGUUGCUGCAACCCUCAUGCACCCUCAUGCACUGGUACUUUAAUGUCAACUGAAAAUUAAAUUAAAUGGAGAACUUCUGCUUCUUAAUGGCAGUGUAGGAGGGUUUUCACCAGGCGAAGCACUUUUGUACUCAGCACCCCCCUGCCUCCCACAUUCCAUGCCAGAGGGGGAGCCAGGUACCGAGACAAACUGUGAGUGAAGCCAAUUUUCCCGACCCUGGGGGGAAUUUGCAAGGAUGAUUUACUCUCUGUCAUCCUUGUUUUUCAUUCGCCAAUGAUUCCCCGCUGUUGUGGGGGCUGCUUCCAUUAAGACAGGCAGAAUCUUGGGGGCUGCUUCCAUUAAGACAGGCACCAGAAGCCUAAAAUGAAAAAAAAUAAAGUAAAAGUUUGUUAUUGUCAACCCAAGAUUCUUCUUACAUGUUAGACUUCUUCCUUAAUGAACAGGCUCAGAGUUUUAUGUUAUUUUCAUCAUAUUUAAUAUGCCUUUAUUGUUCCUAGUGUUGGACUGUUGCAGAACUACACAUGUGCUAUGUAAAUGUAUUGUUAGACAUUUAUACUGAACCACAUACCAAUAUCACUGGGACACAGAGCAGACAAUCCAUUAUCCAGCAAAUACACCUUUGCUUGCAUUGGGUGGGCGUGCUGGGGAGACUCUGUGACUGUAGCUAUUUCAGGUUCAGAAGCCAUUUAGAGCUCAGGUGACAGGAGAUUGGAAAUUACUUUGAAGGCCUGUUUAAAAGACAGUUUGCAUUGUUGCAUUUAACUCCUUAUAUACAGUUUGACUUUCAGGGGACACUUUUCAUAACUCUUCUUCCUUUGAUGUGGUGCUAUGAGUAUCUCUGCCAGUAGUCAAAUAGGUUAUACAGUGUGUGGAACAUUUAUCGGAAGGAAAUUCUGUGAGAUCAGAUUGUAUAUCAUGCCAAUAACUCUAUCUGAUUUUCAAAUGUAUAAAGUUUCUCAGCAUUGCAAUUUAAUCUUUUCCUCAAGAGGGUAGAGGUUAAAGUAAAGUAUAAUAUGUAUAUGUGUUGAUAUAUUCGAUGAAGAUAAAGAACAAUCUCUGGACCCAGACCUGUAAAUAACUUUACAUUAUUUUUAAUGUGUGUAAGUGAAAGAAGCAGCUGGCAAGUCAAUCCCCAUCACUUCCUGAUGAUAAAGCUCUGUGCAAAUGCUACCUUUGUUUAAAGCCAUAUUAAUUUAGCUUCAGUCACACAGAAAGGUAAUAGUUUUCUAGGAUUUAGACUAACAACUUCCCACUGUAAAGCAUAAUGUGAUUUAUAGGCUCCAUCUGCCUCCAUAAAGGAACUCCUCCCCCCAUCUCAGCAUCUGCAUCUUAUUUUGCACCUGAAUCAUAAUGAGUAAGAAUUCUGAGAUGAGUUUACAUUCAGUAGUGCUGUUCUAUUUAUACGUCAAUGCUGUUUAUUAUAACAUAAAUCCACAUCCAAUAUUUACUGUUAGCCGUGCAAGAAAAUUAACUUUCCUGUGUGCAUUUGUGUACAGUAAUGCACAAUCUGAAAAGCGACUGGUAGGCCCUACUAAUGUGUGGCAACAUCCUUCACCUGUUGGUAGUGUGUGAUUUACCAUGAUUUCACUUUGCUAAAUGUGAGCACGUGUGCUUUUCUUAUGCCAACAUGGUAGCAUAUGUAUACCCUUUCUGAUUUUAUAAUGUUGUCUGCUGAUACCAAGCAGAACUGCUUGCAAAGUAUACUCAUCUAAGUUAUUUUGUAAGUUCAUUAACUAUCUGAUCUUGCAAGCUGAAUUUUGGCACUUUUUUGUUUAUAUUAAAGCAGGGGUAGCAACAAGGUGUCCUCCAGAAGUUGUGGAUUGCAACUCCCAUAAGCCAUAGCUAGCAUAGGCAAUGGCCAGGGGAGAUGGAAAUUGUAGUCCAAAACAUCUGGAGGGCACCAUGUUGGCUAUCCCUGUAUAAAAGCAUUAAAAUAUAAAUACGCAAAAUUAAAAGUUAUAUGAAAAGAUGUAUAAAUAAAAACAAAACAAGAGUAUGUUUAAAGAUAAUAUUUACAGACAUACGGAUUUACAUUACGCUGAAACUUAAUAUUGCAGUAAUUAAUAAACAGUACCCAGUACUUUUUUAUUUUUAGGACUUGAGAAAGCCUGAGCUGCAAAUUAGAGCAAAAUUCUUUAAGAUACUUCUGUUGCAUUGCAAAUAUAUCUUACUCUGCUUUGAGAAGACAGGAAGGCGAGAAGUUGAUGCCAAAAUCUACACCAUUUGAAAUUUUGAAGGUUGUUAGAGAAAUCACCAGUGCAUCUUAAUUCCAUUGAUUUCAAUUAGUCUACUCUGAACUAGCAUUAGAUAUCACACCUAAUGUUUAGUUAAAUGGGUAAUCUGAUUUUCAAUUCAGCUGUCUAGUUAUUAGAAUUACAUUAACUUGGGGGGGGGGGGCUGUUUAUCCAAUUUUGCUGCUGCCUGCAUGCUGGUGUAUCUAAGGCCAAAUAUAAAGAUUUGCAAGAGCCAAAGAAGAAAGACAGUAAGCACUAAAUGCAAUGGAUACUAGUUCAUAUGAGAAACAUCAGGAGGAGCUUUAUGGUAUUUGAAUCAGGAACCUUUGAUUCUGUGUGUGCUACCUUGUGUAAAAAGGCCAUUGCAUUGUUGAUUGCGUUAUCUCCCUAUGCAAGCAAAUACUCUCAUGCCCAAGGCUGGACCUGCCCACCCAGGCAGGCCAUUUGACCUUAAAAUCCCAAAAUUUAAAAUUCCCAAACAGCUUGACCCUCACAUAAUGGAACAUAGUUGCUCAUACAAAAUAGAUUUGAACAGCAAGGGGAUGAAUAGUGAGCAGGCGUUUCAUGUUUGUAGAAUGUUGUUCACCUGGCAAACUCAAAGCUCAGACAUCUUAUAGAAGGAAAAGUUUUAUUAUUUGGGCUAGAUUUUUGUGGCUGAGACUACACAGAUGAUCGGAUGUGUUAGGAGUUUUUUAGUAGCUCUAGGAGUUCUAUAUUGUCCAUUUUUAAAAAAUGGCUAUAUUAACCUAUAUUGUAAGUUAUAGUGAUAAGUCUUUAGAAUAAAACACACUAGAAAUUAAAACCAUUUGAAAUUUGUUAAUAGACUGUCUUUUGUGAAUCCUUGGGUUUAUUUUCUAAACAAAAUCUAUACAAGUAUGAUAGUCCCCCUCCUCUCUUUGCUUCUAAAUGACACAAGAGAGAAAACACUGGCUGUUGAAGACUCUUUUCAGUAUGCGCUUAUUACCAUAUUUGCAAUAUAUGGCUUCAGUUCCCUCCUGUAACUACUCACUAUGGGCUGUUUUCUCUUUGGAAUUACACUCUUGCUUAUGAAGGACAGCAAGCUGGGCUACUUGGGGUUUGUUUUGUUUUGUUUUUCAAGAAGUAACUGUAACCCAGCGCCGUGAACCAGAGGUCCAACCUAACCAUGGCUAUUAAUCAUGACCGUCCAUUAUUUACGGAGGAUUCAUUCAUUGUUCCAUAAAGGUAUCUAGAGGGUCAAUUAGAGACAACAGACAGGAUUUUUCAAAGACACAAGAGGGUCAAUUAAGCCCUCCUUGUAAUUUUCUGCUUUAACAGCAAAUGCCAGCCUAUCGUGCAACAGAUAUAGUUUCGAAAUAAACAGGAUGCUUUUUUUCUGUUUGGGAAGAAAAGGGGGGGGGGCAAGAUGUCAGUUUGCUAGUAACAUAUGGUUCACUGUCAAGCCAUAGCCAAAGCAAAAAGAGAUUUUUUAUCACUGCAACUGGCAAAGUGCAAAGUUCCUUUUAGGGUCAGUGUACCUUGGGUGAUGAGGGAAUUUCUAAGAAGGAACAUUCUGAUUCCACUUCAUAGGCACAUCAUUUGUCUCUGGAUUCUUCUUGCCUGUGGUGGCACUUCUCUACACGACCAGACUAGAGUUGCAAUACCCCAAGCACUUCUGUUGUACAACCUCCAUUUAUUUUAAUCUCGACCAUUGAAAUGAAUGAAGUGCUUAGUAAGGUUUCUUGUUUUUAUUCAAAUCUGAUUAGAAAGAAUAGAGAUUGCUACAGAUAGCAUGAUCAAGAAUCCUACACGAAGUAUUUGGCAAAGGUCCAGAGAGAGGUAGGUACAGGAGAACUAAAUGGUUAGAAGCUCUUAACAAAAUUUAGAAGAAUACUACAAGAAUACAUAUUUACAUAAUUUCCAUUCAAGUGAUGGAAUCCUGGCUCCAGAUUAAACCUAAUGACAUAAAUGGAGUUACUUUGGAGUUAGAAAAUGUUGAGAACUGAAAAAUAUUCAGGUGACAUAGAAGCAUAGAAAGCUGCCUAGUACUAGAUCACUCCACAGGUCCAUCAUGUUCAGUAUUGUUUACACUGACUGGCAGUGGCUCUCCAGGGUUUUAUGCUACCAUCCCUACCUGGAGAAGCUGAGGGCUGAACUUUGGACCUUCUGCAUGCAAAACAAAUGCUGUACUACUUAGCCACAGCCCUUGCUGAAUACCUAAGAGUUGCAUUCUUCAAUACUUAAACAACAUCUCUUAAUACCUGCCCAGGUAUUAAAAUCCUCAUCAAAGGCUCUUCUGAGAGUCAUUGCAUGCUGGGAUAGGGCCUUUUUUGUGGUGGUGCCACUCCUUUGGAACUUGCUUUCCAGGGCAGCUCAACUGGUCCUUUAUCCCUGUGGCUCACAAGUGAAGAUGUUUGUUCGCUCAGCCAGUUAUCAAGCUCACACCAGAGAGCAUGCAGACUAUUGAACAACCAGAAGGCCUUAUUUGGAUUCAGAUCCCCUUUUACAUGAGGUGUAAAAGAGCCUUUCUGUGUGCAGAUCCAGCCAAUUAUUGCGUGCUUUUUCUGGGCACUAAAGAUAGACAGCUAUUGAAACUGGCAGUUUGCCUAUAAUUUGCAGUUUCAUUGUGUACAUGUAAAUUUGUCAUGUCACUAUCUCUGUUUUUGUUACCACUUAAAAAAAGAAUAAAGUGUUAUAUUUAAAAACAGGCCAUGGAGGAAAUAUGUCAAACUUAACCUCUUAAAAGUAAGGCUAAGCAUCUUUUUCCUUCAAAAGCUGUAUUCUGUUGGAAUCUGCAACAUACCGGUAACUUCCUCAGAGUUCUGAAAUUUCCCACUGUACUCAAGCUGUUUUCUUUUCACCGUUUAAUUGUUCAUAUAGUAUAACACACUCUGCAAAGGUUUCUUUUCCCUUCAGCUUGAAAACAUGUUUUUGAUUGAACAGUGCCUCUGCUUUUGUCAUGUUUCAUUUACAAAACAUUUAAGUGGUAAGCAAUCUUUAUUGUUUAUCUUUUCCCUGUCCCCUUUUAAAAAUUAAAAACGGAAGCUUUGCAUUUCUGAUGAUUCCUCAAUGUCUCUUGUGCGAGCAAUUCUCAGAGUAAGCAUCAGUGGUUUGAUCCUUAUUGUCCUCUGAAGCCCCUUAUUCUCCGUAGUCUUUUAGCAGAAAGUUCUAACUAAUGACUUAGGGCCACACUCUGCUCUCAGAUGCUGGCUUGCAACUUGCCUAGAUUCCUAGGAGAGUUGUUUGUGCAUCUUGGAUAACAGAAUUUGGCUCCUAGUGUGUGAAAUUAUAGCAGAAAUGGACAGAAAAGCCUCUAGCACAUUCAUCUUACUGACCUCAAGCAUAAAGUGGGGGUGAGGGUGGGGGUGAAAAGGAUAUUAAUCCAGCCUCUAUGUUUUCACAUUAUUUUUAGCUUUAUGUUUCAAGGGAGAAUAUAUGUGGCAGGGAAUUCUAGUUUUGCCAUGUUUUGUGUCUUUACUUUUAAAGAGUACUAUUACUUAAAUUUUGUGAUGACGCUUCAGUAAUAUCAAAUACAUACUAUUAAUCAUCUUGAGGGCAGCAAGUUUGAGAAGGCUAUUAGAAAUGAUACCACAUACAUAGGCAGCUGCCUUAUACCAGGUCAAAAUAUUUGUCCAUCUUGUUUAAUAUUGUCCACUCUGAUGUGAUAGUGGCUUUGGAGAGUCUCAGGCACUUCUGUUGUUGUUGCAUUUAUAUCCCACAUUUCUUCCAUUUAGCUGAGGGCGCUCUUCAUGGCCCUGCUGUUCCAUAUUAUCCUCAUAACUACCCAAUGGGAUAGAUUAGUUAAGAACUGGUGGCUGUUCCCAAAACACCCAGUGAGCUUUAUAACCAAGUGGGAAUUUAAACCUAGUGUCCCAGGUCUAGUCCAACACCUAACUUCUACCUGCCAUGAUACCUAUCUGAAAGAAACACCAUCCCUGUUUUUGUUUUUCCUUUUGAAGAUGCCCUGUUAAAAUUUUGUUCAUUUGAGCUUCUACACGUUUAAGGUUUAGCUCCUCUGCUACAAGUAUUUUUUAGUAGUUAAAGGUUGGGGCAGUAGAUACAGGUUGUCUGUAGCGCAUAUUACUGUUGUAAUUAUUAUUAUUAUUUGCAUUUAAUAUUUACUUUUUAACUGAAAGGUAAUUCAUAUCAAAUUAUCGAAAAGUAGUGCAGAAAUUAAAACCAUCAUAAAACUAUACAUGCACAUGAACAGUAAGACACCACACAAUGUACAGCCUCCUAUUACACACACUGCAACCACUAUGGUAUGUUUUGAAAUUCUUACAUUAUAGAACUAUACUUUUCACACUGCAGUUUUAACAGGCUCAGCAUCCUACAUGGAACUGGUGAUGUGUACUGUUACAAUGCAUAUUGCUCAAGGAUAUGUGAAAGGCUGAAUAUAGCAAAUGUGUAUUUGUGUGCACUCAAGACAGUGAUCCUUUUUAUAAAAAUAGGGUUUGCAAGUGUGUUCUGAUUUCUAUCUAUAAAAUGUUAAAUGGUAUGAUAUUAAAAUUUAUGGCCAUGUUGUUCCUUAGUAUGUAAACUACAGAGAUGAGCAGUGUGCAUGAAGUGAUGUGGAAGCUUUUGAGGCCCACAAAACUCUUAAUCAGUCUGUGUGUAAAAAAGAAGACUAUAAGAAACUGCCUUAUGCCUGGUGAGACAAUUUAGUUCAAUAUUGUCUACUCCGAUGUCUACUCUGAAUGGCAGGAGCUCCGGGAAUUGUGUCUAAAGCCAAAAUUGUGCAUACUCAAAAUCCAUUUGAAUUAAUGGUGUGUGGGAUUGUCAGUCAUUUUCUCCAAAACUUGGCACCCUUUCCACCCCUUUUUAGCCACAUGCAUAGUAUCUGAUUACUAACUUGGAGGUUGCUGAUUUUAGCACAUGUGGCUGCAGCAUUGGUGUCCAUCACCAACUGUAGGGCUGCCAUACGUCCUUAUUUUCCAGGACACAUCCUGGAAUUCCGAAAAUGGCAUCCUGGAUUAUUUUUUGGAAUUGGGGAAAUGUCCUGGAAAACUGGCAGCAGGGUUUAAAUCAUGUUUUAAAAAGCUCCCUCCAAAACUCAGUAACUUUGGGGGUUGUCUAAAAAAGGCUAAACAAUUUUUGGUGGUUUCUUAAAAAAACAACACCUCAACAAUUUUGGGGUCAACAACUUUCAAGGUGUCCUGGUUUUUACUUUUUGAAAUAUGGCAACCCUAACCAACUGGUUCUUCACCAAUUGGGGGGGGGGGAGUUUUUUAUUCUGCUUAUAUCCCAUCCUUACUCCCAAAGGCGCUCUCUCUCAGUCGGAAAUUAUUGGACAUGACUAACUUUAGUUCAUUCAUUUUAGUUGCGUAUAGCACACUGUAUUGUUUUUUUCUUAAGCAUUGUAUCCUCCUUUGGGAUUGUCUGUUUCAAUGAACAGUGGAUAAGAAAUAUUUCAAAUAAAAAAAUAAAAAUCUUUCUAAAAGGACAUACACUGACCACAUUAUUUCUGAAAGCAUUUGGGUAAUCAGUGUGAUUACCUGGGGAAAGAAAUUGUAAUUUUAAAUUCAGAAGUAUAAUUUUAUAAAUCACUUUGGCAAUGCUUGUCUUAACUCUGUUUCACGUAGUAUAGGGAAUAACUGUCUUUAUUAUGCUUUGGCUUGGGUAUUAGGAUCUUUAACCUGCACCUAAAGCUGAGCAAAUAAUCCACAAUGAAUUAUUUAUUGUACAUAAUGAAGCUCCUGUACAUCUGCUGAGAUACAGGCACAAUGGUGGCUUCCUUAUGUAUUCAUUAUUCAGAUAUACUGCAUAAUUUUUGUAUAGCGCUAUUGAUCUCAAAUACUGGAAGAAUUGUGUUGCACCUCUUUAUAUUGAAUUUGAAAAGUUUCAUACUGGGUGAAAAAAAAAUGCAUGACUCUUGUGUUCUCUGAUAGUAGACAUGCUGGCUUGGCCCCAGGACCAUGGGUGCCCGGGGCUGUACAUACCGUGUGGGUCCGACGUCACACUCGUAUGUCAUCAGGCAUGCUGAGGUUGGAUGCACGCACUGGUGGGUGUGCUGAUGUCAGGUGUGCACACUCCUGGCGCAAACAUUUGUGGGUGCCCGGCCCCUUCAUGGGGUAUGUUCUGAGGGCUGGAGCACCCAGCCCCCCCCCCAGUGCCUAGGUCUGAAAGGAUAAUUGGCCCUCAGUGUGAGCACAACAUCCAUCACCAAUAAAAUUCUCAGUUUCAGGAUGGGUCCUUUUAAAAGAUAGGAUUAAUUUAAGAAGCCAGUGAGUGGCCCCAGAUGAAUAGAAGUUGAUCCAAAUUGGGCACAGCAGAGAGGAUCCAUCAAUCACUGCUCCUGCUACAUGAGCAUAGGUGAAAUGGGCUUCCUCCAAAUUUUGCCAUAUGGUUGUAAUUUCUUUCAUUUUAGGCCACACUUUCUCAAGCAUUUCCAGAUAAAACAUAUUACUGACUGUCUAAGUUGUGAAGCUGAAGCUUUUUGUGGCAUAGAGAGAUUCAUCAGCUCAUCUUCUAUCUAAGAAAUACAAAGUAACAAAAUAUCCCCUCCUCUCCCCCCCCCCUUUUGGUCUCGGUGUAUAAAGGGAAAAUGCACUUUCCUACAUUAAAUCCUACAUAUGGUAGCAUGUACUCAAAAAGGUUAUUAAUCUUUGUCUUAUUUUCAAACAUCACUGUACAUUAGAAUAUGCUGUAAUACUUUGGGGACAGAGCAAUUCUAAACUGUUUGUAUAUUUCUAGAGUGCCUAUUAAUGCUCAUGGCCAGAUGGUUAUAUAAUAAGACACUUGAAGUGAUCAUCAAGCCACACUUCUAAAGAACACAAAAAUCACAUGAUAAAAGCUUAGGAAAUUGUUGUGUUACUUGGUAACCUUAUUUGAUUGCCAUUCUAUCUCCUCUAGUGCCUGCAUUUAACACCUUCCUUGUUACCUUACAGUAUCCAAACUCAUACAUAGAAUAGCAAUUUGCUACAUGUGGGAUAUGCUACUGUGUUGUCUGCUGUCUUCAAAACAUUUUAUGUACUGAAAUACCAUUGAAGUAAGUGAAACCAAAUGGUGAGGGUAAGAAAUUGGAAGGUGGGAAUCUGUAAUUCUGCAGUUUGUUCUUAUUUUUAUUUUUAAAUCCCUGAGGUAAAUGCCACUGUAUUAAAUAUUGCAAUAAAAUUUGUCCCAGACCUGGCAUUCUGCUUGUGUUAAGAAGUUUUAAAGGCCACCUGUGGGCAGGACAAAAGAUCACUGGUAUUGUCAUCAUUUACAUCUGAAGGCUUCUUCUUUCUUGGCUAAGUAGGUAAACAGAUGAAUGACACCAGCACAGCUGUCAGAGAGAUGAUCCUGUGUACAGUAGUUUGACUGAUGAGACUUCCAAAUCUUGUUUACAACUUGUAACUUGGGUAGAAAUAUAUUUAUGAGAGUUAAAUUACUGUUUCUGUGCCAUUAUUCUUGGCAGCCCAUGCUCAUAUUCUGCUUUCAUUCUUAGGCAGCCAAACUACAUAGGUGGAAUCAGUUGUAAUCUAUGGUUUCAUGGGGCUUCUGAAGGGCCAUCCUGAACCUCAUGAUUGAGCCUCAAAGCAGCAUCACUGACCAGACCCAAUGGCAGAGCUUCAUGCUCCAGCACCGGGAGGCGGAGAGCAGACGGGGGUGGGGCUGGUGCGCAUCUUGGGGGUGUGGCGCCCAGCACAGGUGAGGGGGAGCCGCGAUGGCACCCUACCGGGAUUGCGCUGCCGGGGCCGGUGUGCUCCCCCCGCACUCCUCUUCCUCCACCAGUGACCAGACCCAGACCAGCUUUGCAACAAGUGGCUACAUCAUGUGCCCUCAGACUGUGUCCUAAAUCUGGCAUCAUUUACAACCAAAGAGGAGUCUCUUGAGAUGGGGAACCUGUGGACCUCCAGGUGUUGUUGAAAUCAAAGGUCCAUCAGCCCCAGCUAGCAUUCCUAUUGGCCAGGGAAGAUGGAAGCUGUAGUUCAACAAAACCUGGAAGGUGACAGAUUCCCUACCCCUGUUGUUUGAUAGGAACAGGAAAGUCUUUCCCUACUUUCCUGUGUUCAAGAAUAUACAAAUAGUGCUCUCUUCCAGCAUUGUUCAUGUGAAAGGGGCUGCAGGACUGUUUGUUUAACAAUGCACCAGAGUUGUAUGUGUUCUUCUACUCCCACUGUUUCUGUCACCAUGUUGGGCAUAACUUUUGAAGCAGAAAGCUUGUCCUAUAUAUGGAUACUCCAUGCAUAAUAUAGAACCUCAGACAGUCAGAAUUUUUUUAAAUCAAAAAUGGAACCUUUACAUGUAGAUCAGGCUCUCCACCUCACAAUCAUGUCCAUGAAGUCCCUUUGACAGUUGCUCUCUUCAUGCAGUUGAUAUCUUAAGUAGGCUUGAUGAGUGUCUUUUCAGACAUUUAGAUGAACACAUGUAGACUGGGGACCAGAACCAGUUCCCACAAUGCUACAUCCAUGAAUGUUCAUUAUUUGUGCUACAAAUAUCUCAAAAUAGAUAAAGUGUGCUUUGGGCAAUUUAGAUUUUUCAGCCACAGUCUGAAUAAUGGCUAUUCUUCUAUAUUGGGUUAAAGAGAAUGAGACUCACUUGUGAUUAUAUACUGCCAAUUUCUUUUGUAAGUAGAAUGACUAUAAAAUGAAGCAAUUUCAAUAAAACUUUUUUUUUUUGGCCAGAUUUUGAGAAUUGACACAUAAAAAGGAUUUGUUCUCCAAACUGCCUUUGAUUAAUUAUAGCUAUAGACUAGCUAUUACAAUUUUGAUUAAACUUCCAGUGAGCAGGAAAAUUAGCACUUCCUGCAAUAUCUAUAUUAUUUCAUUAGUGUGAGCUUCCUUUUUAAAAAGCACAGCUCCCCCUCCCUUCUGCUUCUUUGAGCAUCUUCAAAACUACAGAGAGAGAGAGAGAGAGAGAGAGAGAGAGAGUGUUGUAUGAACACUUGGCUAAAAGGACAUUGCUGGUUUACAAAGCCAUCAUCAAGAUAUUCAUGCCAUUGGUAAUAUUUUUGUUCUUAUCUGAAGAUUCAUAUUAGAGGAGUGCUUUGAUGAUGUUGCUCUUUACUGUGUUUGCCCACUUUAUGCAGAAGAGAUGCAUAAUGAGCAGCUUUUUCAUUAAGGAUUCUCCGUAUAAAACUCAGAGAGGUUUGCUUCUCAGAAUACAGUUCAAUGACAUUUGAUAUUUUCUGGAAAAUGCUGUGUUGGAAUGAGUGAGUUGUCCAAUAAAUUGCACUGCACUGCUCUGAGGAAGGUUCUCCGGUUUAUGGGACAGCUGAGUGCCAGUCACAUCUACCACUCAGUUUGACAGGGUGUCUUUUCAGAUGUGGGAUAAAUUUGCAGGAUUAAUCCCCUAUGUUGUACAGUUUAAUGUGAGUAGCAUUUUUCAGCUGUCCAACCUCAUUAGGGUCUGCUCAUAUUUUGUAUAAGAGUGUGAAUUCUUAUUUGUUCAGCAUAGUACCCUUCAAAUGUUUUGGACCUCAAGUUCAAUCAGUCCCUGCUGGCACACUUGUGUGAGCUGAGGCUGCUAGGCCUGGUAGUUGUUGUAGGCAAUUGAAGUAAAACCACUGUAUAAGUACGACAUGUAUCCCAAUAGUGUGCGGGUUUCAUACAAUUAAAAACUGGUUGUGAUUUGAAUCUACACUGGCAUUUCCCAUCAGCUUGCCUGACAAAUCCAUCAGUUUUGCAGAUUUGUUGUAUGGUCAGAUUGUUCAUAUGGUGAUUUCUUCAUAGAGAAAGUCACCCUUGGUGCACAUGUACUCCCAAUGGCCAGUCUGCCACGUACAUAUUCAGCAUGAGGUGGUGGAAAAUAUUGGGCCAGAAUGAAAUAAUUCACAUAUGUUAGUUGUACUUAAAUGUACAAACAAAGAGAACAUGUAAGAAGAUCUGCUAUCCAGGAGGUAACUGCUGGUGGGCAACUCCAGGUCCCCUCCUGAUCCUUCUCCUUAUGGUUCUUUAACUUUAAACUGGAGUUGUACUGGAUAACCCUUCAAAUAGAUGACUCCUGUAGAUAAAAGAUUGUCAUCUGGCAGUCCUUCGAAGAGAGGUCUGUACCUAGUGCUAGUUCCACCAUUGAUGUACCAUGAGUGAAAGUCCUCUUGUGCAAAAAAAGCCUCUGAUGUUGAUCAGAGCAGGUCUUUGUUGUUGAUCAGAAUGUAGGUACAUGUGGGAACAUGUAAUCUUCAAUGUUUGGAGGUUUAAAGGUUUUUAAUGAACUCUUUCCAAUUUUGCUGUGUAAUUCCAAAUACUUGAUGCUAAUAUUUAUGUAUUUAUGUAAUUAUUUUUAUUGCAUUGUUAAAGUAUUCACACACAGUUUCUCAGGAUCAGUUUGACAUUAUCCUUGAAGUUUUGUUUUGCUCUUUAUAAUCCUUGUAAAUAUUUUAACAUGAUUUUUGUUCUGUGUUUCUCUGAGAAAUAAUAUGAUCAAAAGCAAUAUGCUUCAGUGACCAGUAUGUAAUAUUUUCUCAUUGUCAAAUUAAGAUUCCUAGAGAUGCAAUGUUUUUAGAGGUUACAACAUGUUAAAAAUCAAUUUAAAGUGGUAUCUUUUGUAAACCUUUUUUUGUGUUGCUUUUCUGUUUGUGCUACAC